GGGGGUGAUUGGUCUCGACUUCGGUCGGGUCACCAGGGGAAGCGAGCCGAGGAAGCCAACGAUGAGCUCGUUAACCACGCGUUGGAAAACACACAAGCGCCGACUCCAGUCAGCGCGACUUCGCUCUCGCUGCGUAAGCAGCCGGAGUGAGUCUGUCAGCCCGGGUUCUGUCAUCGGCCCGGAUCCUGGCAUCAGCUAGAUGACUCACCGUGCUGGUCGGUCGCGGACCGGCACGGGACACCCCACAGCGACUGGGCCUGUCGUCCCGACCUGUUCGUGGGAUCGGGAAGGUCGAGCAGGGACACAGCGGACUGCGCUCGGAGAAGCCCUGGUCGCGCGUCGAAGGACGCGGGUUCGAUUCCCGCCACCUCCACAU
rnacentral:tmRNA from 1 species